UACAGAGACUGCAAGCGUUAUUCGGAUUCACUGGGCGUAAAGGGUGCGCAGGCGGUUGGGUGUGUCAGGUGUGAAAGCCCGGGGCUUAACCCCGGAAUUGCGCCUGAAACUACAUGACUAGAGCAUUGGAGAGGGUAGCGGAAUUCACGGUGUAGCAGUGAAAUGCGUAGAUAUCGUGAGGAACACCAGAGGCGAAGGCGGCUACCUGGACAAUUGCUGACGCUCAGGCACGAAAGCGUGGGGAGCAAAAGGG
rnacentral:rRNA from 1 species